UAAUAAGUGUUUUAUGGCACUUUUUAAAUCCAUAUCCACCUUGUGUGCAAUGUCAGUCGAUCUUCUUCAUGGAGAUCGACCAAGCAUCAACCUUUAUCUUUUAACUCUUUUGUCUUAAAAAUAUUAUGAAUAAACAAUUCAAAAUA
rnacentral:misc_RNA from 1 species